GGAGAGGUGGCCGAGUGGUCGAAGGCGCUCCCCUGCUAAGGGAGUAUACCCCAAAAGGGUAUCGAGGGUUCGAAUCCCUUCCUCUCCGCCA
rnacentral:tRNA from 1 species